UCAUAUUAAUUUCAAGAUGCAGGCCGGGUGUGAGCCACCAUGCGGCUGGCCUAAGAUUGUUUCUGAUGUCUACCUUCUGUAAGUAAUGCUGCAACAUAUAUCCUUGUACAUUUGCAUUUGUGCACCUCUGUGAUUCUGUUUGUAGAAUAAAUUCAAAAAAGUGUAAUCAGAACUAACAAUUCAGCACAAAUAUAAGUAAAGUUUCUAACCAGAGACUUGGCUACUUCUGUUACAGUUUUAAUGUCCAGAUCACAGCAGAACUCUGGGUGAUUUUGAAUCUUUUAAGCAAUCACCUAUUAAUAGGGAUCCUAGAGGAUGUGGACAAAAUUUGUAGGUACAGGCAUGUCUUUACUACCAGUGUGCAGAAUGGAGAGGAAAAGAGUAGACAAUGGACCCAUCCCUUGUAGGACUCUGAAGGCUCCAAAUGACCCAUCAGGGGUACAGAGUUUCUCUUACUACCCACAGGGGUUGAUUGCACUGCACAGAUCUGGAGAGGACAGAGUGAUGGGGUUUGAGGUAGGAUACAAGUAUACAGUUUGAAUUUUUGUGAUUCACCAAGAUUACGUCCAAAAAGAUGAUGAACUAUUUUUAUAAAUGAAAAUGUAUUUUAAUGGCAUAGAGGUACUGUCUAAAUGAAUCUUAUGAAUCAUUUCAUAGAGCAAAUAGUUCUCUUGAAGCAUUAAAUGUUUUACAAUAAGUCAUAUUUUGAGUUGGCAUGUGACAAUUUCUGUUUGCAUGUAUAAAAAGCUUUUGUACCCAGGAUAACAGGUGCCCCAAAAAGCACAAACUGAAGAUAAUCCAAAAUCAGGUGUAUCCAGGUCCAGCAAAUGACUUAGUCACUCCAGGCUUGUUUCUUUACCUCAAAAAUGAGAGGGUUAGGAUAUUUGCUCUCUAAGCCCCCUUGCAGCUUUGGGACUAUGCACAAUGUGGACAGUCAAGAAAUGCUCAGUAGACUGAAGUCCAUGACAGCAGAGGCAGUAUCUACUUUUUCUUGUUAUGGUGUCACCUGCUACUUAGAAUAGAGUAUGGCAGGUUGGGCAUGGUAGCUCAUGCCUAUAAUCCCAGCACUAUGGGAGGUUGAGAUGGGAGGAUCACAUUAGCCUAGGAGCUCAAGACCAGCCUGGGCAAUAUAGUGAGACUCCCAUCUCUAAAAAAACGUUUUUUAAAAAAAGCCAGGCAUUAUGGCAUGCACCUAUAGUCCCAGCUACCCAGGAGGCUGAGUUGGCUGGAUAGCUUGAGCCCAGGAGUUUGGGGCUGCAGUGAGCCAUGAUCUCACCACUGCACUCCAGCCUGAGCAACAGCGUGAGACCCCAUCUCAAAAACAAAUAGUGUAUGGCACAUAGAAAGCACAGGAAACAUUGGUUAAAUAGAUGAAAAAAUGACCAGAUUGCAGAAACUUUCCUUUUUGCAUUUGCUGUAGACUCUUGUCUGAUUCAAAAGUCAUUCCUCUUUCCUCCUUUGUAUCAGAACUCUGUUACUGUCUAAAUUAUGUCUACCCUCCUCCACCUUGCCAUAAGUUUCAGAGGACAUGGUCUUCAGACCUAGUGCUAAAAGGUGGCACUAACCAAUUACAGUGGCUUGAUUUCUCUUGCUUAUGAUUGUUGUGAGCAUGGUCACAUGAUUUAAUUCUGGCCAAUGAGGAACUCUGGCCAAUUAGGGAAAAAGUGCUACUGGGGCUCUAGAAAAGUUUCCUCACUGAUAAGAUAGGACCCCUUGAAGAAAGCAGCCUUCCCAUUGCUUGAAAGAAAGCACGUCUACUUCACUCCUGAAGCUAUUCAGCCAUCUUGCAAUCAUUAGAGAGUCAGUUUGAGGAAAGCUAAGACCAGAGUGAUGGGCCAGAAAUAUGGAAAGGAUCUGAGUCCAUGGUGACAUGGUGACAUGUAGAAGUUCUGAGAUAACAAAACCGAAGCAGCUUGUCUUCUAAAAUUUUUUGUUAAGUGAAAUGGUAAAUUCUUUAUGGUUUAGAUAAGUUUAUUGUUUUGUUACUUGUAGCCAAAAUAAUCCUAAUAAUAUAUUACCUUUAUAGGAUUUAUGCAGAUGGCUGUUGAAAAUUAAAGAGCCCUCAUUGGCUGUAACAUGGAGCUUCAUGGGUAGAAAAUAAGGAGGCAUUUUUCUUGUCCUUUCUCCUGCUAUGGAAAAUUUUAAGAAGCAAAAACUUUACUAAAAUGGGGAAGAGUCUAGUAUUUUUUUUUUAAGAAAAGGCAUUCCCAUUGCAAAUUUUAUAAACCGUGAAGAAAUAUUACAGAUCCAGGCUGUUUUAAAAAUGAUUUAUGAGGAUAGUUGUAGUAGAAUAUUUCCACUUUGAAACAAAGUAACACUGUAUUUGGUUAAGAAGUUUCUUUACUUUUAUUUUUCUUAUGGUUGCAGACAAAAGGAAUCUAUUCCAAUUUUUUUUUUGUGAAAUCCACGGCAAGAACAAGAUAUUGACAUCAAUAACCAAAUCAAUAAAAUACAGGCAAAGCACUCACAUCUGUGUCAGUAUCUUCAAAAUAGAGAAAUGUCAAUUCAGUAUUUACUCAGUGUCCCACCCACAGCAGGAAGCUGGGUGCUGAGGCAAGCUUGCUAGAAGUUCAGGCCUGUACAUGAUUAGCCUAUAGUAUUAUGGGAGCAAAUUAUAGGAUUAGCCAAGGAUAAACUAUUAUUAGACUUGUCAAUAUUUGUUAAUUGCUGGAUAAUACUGUGGUGAGACAGAGAUGAGAUGUAUGAAACAGUAUCUCUCUCUAUUUCAAUCCCAAACACACAUAAACACACACACAUUUUGGACUUUGGCAGUGGAUCAUGGUAAGCACUCAUCUAAAAGACACUGCAAACUUAAUUCUUAGUUACAUGGAAUUUUCCCAAGAUUCUGGUGACAGGUGUCCAAAACUCUGCUCAGAUGCUUUUAUUUUAAAGCAAUCUUUGCUUAUGGAAGGCACCAUAGAACUCUAAGAAUAGACGUCCAAAGCCACACAAAGGAAGGUGUUAUAGAAAAACAGAGGCUGGGCACAGUGGCUCAAGCCUCUAAUCCCAGCACUUUGGGAGGCCGAGGUGGGUGGAUCAC
rnacentral:lncRNA from 10 species